CUUAUGCUUAUGUUCCUAUGUUCGUCCAUGCUGAUGGCUGUGCUCUAGAGUCGUAUCUCCUGUCGUAGAACAUUUUUAGACAUUAUGAACCAUGAAUAAGUUAAGCUCCAACCCCAGUUAAGCAGACCUGGGCAGCUGAUCAAGGAUCACCAGAAACUCUGCAGAACAUUGAUCCUUCAGCCCAGGACUGGACACCAGUGUUAGUGUCUGUCUCAGAAGCUGAAGAAAAGAGGCAAUAGGAAAUAAAUGCCUCCUAAGUGUACAGAAAUACCUGGCUGAGAAGAUCAGUGACAUAAACCAGAUAAAACUGUCAGUGGUAGGUAUUUACAUAUCCAUAUCCGAAUGGAAUUGCUACAACCUCUUAUCUAAUAUGACUCUUAAGUGAAUAGAGACUAUGUACCAUAAAAAGUAGACAAUGUAAUUAUUCAAGCCUAUUUGUGACCCUGGACCACAAAACCAGUUAUAAGGGUAA